rnacentral:lncRNA from 1 species
UGAGGAGAAUGUCUCCAGAGGGGUUGUGGUUUCCGGAAAGGAAUGCCAGAAACCCCAGGGAAAGUGGGGGGCAAGAAUGACUCGCUCCCCUGACGGCGUGAAUUUCCUCCGGAGUGUGCGCAUGUGUGCUAUCACGUGGGCGGCCUUUAAAGGAAAAGCGGCAGGUCAGAAAAUAGUAACCAACACUGACAAGUGCCGAGGAGGGGGUAGCCUGAG